AGAAGGUUAGUUGUUAUAAGCAUUCGUCUAGCUAACACUAGAGAUUGCAGGAUCAGCCCUUUUCUAGAGCUAUUGCCAGGGAAGCACAGCUGACGUCAGGGAUGUGCACUCAUACAUAAACCUGGUCUAUCCUUUGCCUUUUUGCAUUUUGUUGAUGGCACUACGGACAAUUCAUCUGUACAACAUCCACAUGUUCUAUUUUUAUCCUGUUGCAACGCACAGGCAUUUUUGCUAUAUAUAGUACGCGGUGUAAGAUAUGUUCUAAAUAAAAAAGAAUUAAAUAAAAAACAGAAAAUAAAAAAGCAAAAAUAAACA
rnacentral:lncRNA from 1 species